GCUUGCUUCAGCUGACAUAUACUAAAAUUGGAAUGAUACAGAAAAGAUUAGCAUGGCCCUUGAACAAGGAUGACAUGCGAAUUUGUGAAGCAUUCCAUAUUUUU
ensembl:snRNA U6 U6 spliceosomal RNA